GUAACACUUUUAGUUUUCAUUUAUUUUCUCCUUUAAUCCGAGCAUUUACAAGCUCAGCAUUUUCAUACAUAACCGUCGGAAGCUCUCCAAUAAAUUUGCAUGCUUCCGGCGAUGAACAGGUCCACCUUUACGAAAUCGAGAAGGAAAUUCUCUGCUAAUUACCAACUCCAAGAAUGGCGUAUUCCUUCACUCUGAUUUGAAAGCUGGCCGCUGUUCAAACACAAAUGAGAUCCGUCUUCUGAGGCUAGGAAUGUGAAGAGAGGCGGCGAUCUGAUGGGUGUUGACAUGCUAUGCUACUCACGGGAGAGAAGGUAAUCACUGCCGUAUUUAUGAGAGUGCGAACGUCUCAACAAUUUCAGAGACCGUUUCAGUGAAGGCCCUGUUUUUGAGAGGUUAAGAGCUCCCAUUUUAUGUUGGAGGUUGGGUGGUGGAAAAAACAUGAAGUAAUUUGUAUCUUAAUUGGUUCGGUGAUAUGCAUAAACCAAAAAACAUGAAGCAUUGACACUGACCUCGCAAGAGAAGAACUGUACUCUAGCCUAUGUCUCCUAUAAGAAACAUUCUAUAAUCAACUGAUGAUCCCACUCAAUGGAGGAGCUUGCUAUCUGUGAGGAUAUAGAUCAUAUAGAUCUGCAAGGUCUCAAAGAUAUACUCUGGCUUAUGUGGGUAGUACAUAUUGGAGGCAACGCUUUUCCUCGUAUAAAGAAAGCUGACUGUCUUGUACUUUUAUGUUUUUAGCUUCAUUCAGUUUUAGAUACAAGCUGUGAUGGCACAAUAGUUAUCUUGCCUAUUAAUUUUUCAGGAAGAAUUGGGUGAGUGAUCCAAAAUAAUAUCGAAUCUGUCCUAACUGUGAGAUAUUUCCAAGAUACAAAUUUUGACUGGUAAAGAUUUAUAGGGUUCAUGAACUUUUGAAGUCUCAGGUAUUCAGGAACGUAUAAGCAAAAGGUGAAGUUCAAGACCGUGAAAAUUUGGUGUAUUUAGUAUGAGAUGAAAUUAUAUUUUUUUCCUUUGGACAUAUUCCAAGACACGGUCUGAGUCUAGACAACAAUGAACAAAUUAGCGAGUCAUUCACAAUCAUUGCAUAAUUGUUCAUACCCUGUGUC